rnacentral:piRNA from 1 species
UGAUUCAGUGGAACUGGGAUGGGCUC